AUUGAACGCUGGCGGCAGGCCUAACACAUGCAAGUCGAACGGUAACAGGAAGAAGCUUGCUUCUUUGCUGACGAGUGGCGGACGGGUGAGUAAUGUCUGGGAAACUGCCUGAUGGAGGGGGAUAACUACUGGAAACGGUAGCUAAUACCGCAUAACGUCGCAAGACCAAAGAGGGGGACCUUCGGGCCUCUUGCCAUCGGAUGUGCACAGAUGGGAUUAGCUAGUAGGUGGGGUAACGGCUCACCUAGGCGACGAUCCCUAGCUGGUCUGAGAGGAUGACCAGCCACACUGGAACUGAGACACGGUCCAGACUCCUACGGGAGGCAGCAGUGGGGAAUAUUGCACAAUGGGCGCAAGCCUGAUGCAGCCAUGCCGCGUGUAUGAAGAAGGCCUUCGGGUUGUAAAGUACUUUCAGCGGGGAGGAAGGGAGUAAAGUUAAUACCUUUGCUCAUUGACGUUACCCGCAGAAGAAGCACCGGCUAACUCCGUG
rnacentral:rRNA from 1 species